GGUUGAUUCAGUGAUCUGACCAGCACCCCACCCCAUAUGUGUCCCUCCUAAAGCUAUGUGCUGGGUAAAAGAGGAUGACCUUUCCCUGAGACAGGGAGGACUAUUCUUCAGUCAAGGGUCUAGUUGUGCUCUGUUCAGGCUCCAACCUUUCUAGUAUACACAGAAGUGUCAGUAUUU
ensembl:misc_RNA predicted gene, 23007